rfam:Bombyx mori DNA, contig: Bm_scaf8_contig6694, strain: p50T/Dazao, build 2, whole genome shotgun sequence.
UUAACUCAUAUAUGUAUGAAGUUGGAACGUUUCCCUACGUUUGCCGCUAGAGGCGCUGUUCCAAUUCCAUACAAAUUUGAUUAA